UACGGGGGGGGCAAGCGUUGUUCGGAAUUACUGGGCGUAAAGGGCUCGUAGGUGGCCAACUAAGUCAGACGUGAAAUCCCUCGGCUUAACCGGGGAACUGCGUCUGAUACUGGAUGGCUUGAGUUCGGGAGAGGGAUGCGGAAUUCCAGGUGUAGCGGUGAAAUGCGUAGAGAUCGGGAGGAACACCCGUGGCGAAGGCGGCCAACUGGGCCGGACCUGACGCUGAGGCGCGAAGGCGUGGGGAGCGAACGGG
rnacentral:rRNA from 1 species